GACGAACGCUGGCGGCGUGCCUAAUACAUGCAAGUAGAACGCUGAAGGAGGAGCUUGCUUCUCUGGAUGAGUUGCGAACGGGUGAGUAACGCGUAGGUAACCUGCCUGGUAGCGGGGGAUAACUAUUGGAAACGAUAGCUAAUACCGCAUAAGAGUGGAUGUUGCAUGACAUUUGCUUAAAAGGUGCACUUGCAUCACUACCAGAUGGACCUGCGUUGUAUUAGCUAGUUGGUGGGGUAACGGCUCACCAAGGCGACGAUACAUAGCCGACCUGAGAGGGUGAUCGGCCACACUGGGACUGAGACACGGCCCAGACUCCUACGGGAGGCAGCAGUAGGGAAUCUUCGGCAAUGGACGGAAGUCUGACCGAGCAACGCCGCGUGAGUGAAGAAGGUUUUCGGAUCGUAAAGCUCUGUUGUAAGAGAAGAACGAGUGUGAGAGUGGAAAG
rnacentral:rRNA from 1 species